AUUGAACGCUGGCGGCAUGCUUUACACAUGCAAGUCGAACGGUAACAGGCCGCAAGGUGCUGACGAGUGCGAACGGGUGAGUAAUGCAUCGGAACGUGCCCAGUCGUGGGGGAUAACUACUCGAAAGAGUAGCUAAUACCGCAUACGAUCUAUGGAUGAAAGCGGGGGACCGUAAGGCCUCGCGCGAUUGGAGCGGCCGAUGUCAGAUUAGGUAGUUGGUGGGGUAAAGGCUCACCAAGCCAACGAUCUGUAGCUGGUCUGAGAGGACGACCAGCCACACUGGGACUGAGACACGGCCCAGACUCCUACGGGAGGCAGCAGUGGGGAAUUUUGGACAGUGGGCGCAAGCCUGAUCCAGCAAUGCCGCGUGCAGGAAGAAGGCCUUCGGGUUGUAAACUGCUUUUGUACGGAACGAAACGGCUCUGGUUAAUACCCGGGGCUAAUGACGGUACCGUAAGAAUAAGCACCGGCUAACUACGU
rnacentral:rRNA from 1 species